AUUGAACGCUGGCGGCAUGCUUUACACAUGCAAGUCGAACGGUAACAGGGAGCUUGCUCCGCUGACGAGUGGCGAACGGGUGAGUAAUGCGUCGGAACGUGCCGAGUAGUGGGGGAUAACGCAUCGAAAGGUGUGCUAAUACCGCAUAUGAACUGAGGUUGAAAGUGGGGGACCUUCGGGCCUCACGCUAUUCGAGCGGCCGACGUCUGAUUAGCUAGUUGGUGAGGUAAAGGCUCACCAAGGCGACGAUCAGUAGCGGGUCUGAGAGGAUGAUCCGCCACACUGGGACUGAGACACGGCCCAGACUCCUACGGGAGGCAGCAGUGGGGAAUUUUGGACAAUGGGCGCAAGCCUGAUCCAGCCAUGCCGCGUGUCUGAAGAAGGCCUUCGGGUUGUAAAGGACUUUUGCCCGGGAGCAAAUGCUGGUGGCUAACAUCCACCGGAGCUGAGAGUACCGGAAGAAUAAGCACCGGCUAACUACGUGCCAGCAGCCGCAGUAACAC
rnacentral:rRNA from 1 species